rnacentral:rRNA from 1 species
GACGAACGCUGGCGGCGUGCUUAACACAUGCAAGUCGAACGGAAAGGCGCCAUUGUGGGUUCCCUGAGUGUCGCACGGGUGAGUAACAUGAGAGUAAGCUACCCUUCCUUUUGGGCUAAGUUCAGGACACUGGGGCUAAUAUCGGACAGGAGCUUCUUCUGCAUGGUGGGGGUUGGAAAGUUUCGGCGGUCUGGGAUGGACUCGUGGCUUAUCAGCUUGUUGGUGGGGUAGUGGCCCACCAAGCCUCUGACGGGUAGCCGGCCGGAGAGGGUGACCGGCCACAUUGGGACUGAGAUACGGACCAGACUCGUACGGGAGGCAGCAGUGGGGAAUAUGGCACAAUGGGCGGAAGCCUGAUGCAGCAACGCCGCGUGCGGGAUGACGGCCUUCGGGUUGUGAACCGAUUUCGCAUGUGACGAAGCGUGAGUGACGGUAAUGGGUAAAGAAGCACCGGCUAACUACGUG